AAGAGGUGCAGCCAGGAUCCACCCCUUCCCAGAACUUAUGUAAGGGUUGGCAGUGGAAACAGGGGUAUCUUGCUAGAGAUUUCUGUGUAUCUAAGGCCUUCUGAAGCUGUACCUGGCACCUGAUUGUGUAGGUGGUGGAGAGCAGGAGGAGAAUUGUGUCCUUGUGGAGAUCUCAACCAGACACAGAGAUGGAAGAAAAACUUCUCCCUUACAAAUCAAAGCACUUGUUUCAUCCCUUCUUCAAGACUUCAUUACAUUUCGUCAGGCCAGAGAACGUUUAUUUUUAAAGCAAAAUCUCCAUAAGUAAUACUUUGGUUUUCAUUCAGUGAAGACACAGCAGAAGCUGAAUUGAGCCCUUUUCACCUGAAUGGCCUGCAGCUUGCGGGAUGGUAGCAGAAUUGAGUCAAGCAGGCAGGACAGCAGUGGGGUGUCUGUGGGAUGGUUUCUCAGAUUCAGUGCACAAAGGCAGCAGGGUUGGCUGCCUGUGAACCCCUUGCAGACCCUGCCAAUCCCCUCUGUCCGUGGCUGAGGACGUGUAGCAGUUAAGGAACAGGCCCACUAGCUGCAAGGGGCACUCUGACUUCAGAUCUCCGUGCCCCAGCAGCCCAUGGCACAGCCACUCCUCAUGCUUCACUCCUACCUCCAAGUAUUACACCAAUAGCAGUGACAAAUGUGUUGAGGGGAAUGAGAUUAGAUAAGGAAGAAGGAGGAGGCUAAAUAAUGCACUUUCUACUGACAUGUCAUUGUUGGUACAUCUGUAUUAUGUCUGGAUGUAGUAAUGAUUACUUCUCUGAAACUGCGCUGCAAGACAAUUUGAGCUGAUAAAUCGUAAGAGUUUUCUGGUUUCAAGAUCCCAAAUGCUAUGCGAGAAGAAAAGAUGGGGAUAGGGGAAGAAAAGAAUGGAUGCUCACCUUAAAUCUGUUGACACAAAAAUGUAGCUUCAGGAUGAUAGUAAAAUACUGUAAAACACAAAAAGGGCAGUCUUGCUUGGAAUUCAACUCAUACUAAGGCGUUCUUCAUGAUUCUCUCCUUUUCUGAAGAAGAGGGGAAAAAAAAAAGAUUUUUAAAUGGAGCCUAGUCUUUAGGAGUUGUGUAUAUACGUUCUUGACUGAUGAACUCUUAUAUAUGCAUGUGAUCCAAUAGAAAGUAGUUUUAAAAAAUCAAACCAUUAAUUAUAGGGUGAUUUCAUAGCAAAGGUUAGGGAAAAGUCAGGACGGUUUGGUGGUUUGAUAAUGUUUAUUCUCUCUCUCUAUGACAUACUGGAUGGUAGUAUAUAUAGCAGGGGCUUUCCCAGUUGUUUGUACACGUUCUCCCACACCCUAACAAAGAGGUAGGAAGUAGAGAAGUAUUGUUUAUAAAACCAAAGCUGGAUAAACUAUCUGUACAGAGCCUCUGCAGCAGAGUAUUUGCUUUGCAUACUUCUACACCUCAGUGAAUUUCAGUGGGAGCUGCAGUUUCACUUAUAGUACAUGGGCUACUGAGGGCCUUUGACCCAGACUAUUUGCAACAGCUGAUCUCCCCUCUAAAUGGAGCCAGACACUAAUUGUUCUGGCUGAUGCUAAGGGCUGGUGCACCUCAGCCUUGUGAAAGCAAAAGGCAAGAAAAUCUGAAGAGAGCUACUGUGAUUUCCCUUUGAACGCAAAAUGUGUUUGAGCAGAGUAGAGUUAAAGUAAAUGACAUGGGGCGUUCUAGGGUAAAAACUUUUGACAUCUGCUUAUGCUCACACAAAUUAUUUGCUACCAAAGUAACUCCUGGAGGCUGAAAUGGCCUGAUGACAGCAUAGGAAGAGGAUGGAGGAAGUAUGGUCUUUGACUCACUCACAGAAAUCACCAUGGCCAGAAAGUUGGCUAAAGAUCUUCCUGGCCAAGUUCCAGCCCUGAUGAGGGAUUCUCAAAUACUUCUUCUGCAGGGGCUGAAGGCUACAAAUAAGCGAGAGGGCUGCCCAGAAGAGAAGGUAAAUAGAGGAUGAGGAGCAGCUCAGAAGAUGAUGUUUGCCAGCGGCCUGCAAUGCUACUCUGCAGCUUCUUGCCUUUUUCAAUAGUCAGAAGUGGAUAAAUAAAUAAAAGCACAUUUUAAAAUUGGAAAUAAAUAAAUAAAACCAGAACAAACAGCAGCAGUUAAAAAAAAAUAAUAAUAAUAAUGCUGGCUACACCCAGCAUCACUCAGUCUCAGCUGGGUUCCUGUGUGCAUCUAUCCAGUACCAGCCAGCACUUCAGCAGUAAUCCAGUCAAAGCUGCCAGCAUGUACAAAAAUCAGGCCCAAUUAAUCUAAAUAUAGACUAUAGUAGGACAUUACUGAAAAUAAGGGUUUAUCAUUUUAAUCAGUACCCUUUGGUUUAAUUCAAUGCUAUGUGACAUUCCUGUGACUGGCUGGCUGUUCCCUGAGCAAUUCCCUUCAACACUUCCAUGGGUCAGUAUCCAGGACUGAUGUUUCCUCCUCCUUUUUCCUCAGAGAGCCAGGACAUCCAGAGCAGCCCAGUUCUAACAGCAUGCAAUGAAAUGGCCCAAUAAAGGCCAAAUGAAGGCUGGAGGUAUGCCAGCAUGUGAACAGGGGGGCUUCUUUGUGGGGUGACUGCACAGCUAAAUAUCCUGGUUAGUCUCAGCAGCAAUCUAGGAAAGCAGCUGGAAAAACAUCAAAAUAAUUCACAGCACAGAUAUCAUUGAAUUGUAAAGGGAGAAAAGCUGCAUCUCUGUUUGGUGCUAGUAUUUUAAAGAUAUGAUUUGAUGAAACUCAGAGUUACGUUUUGGUAAUUCUAAAAUUCUAUGAUUACAGAGAAGCUGUAAAAAAAAGCUGGACAAAUCUGCUGAAGUUGGUCAUUAAUAUGAUAUCUUAAAUAUGUGCUACCAAGGCCCAGAUGAAUUCCUGAGAAGUCAAAAAGCAUGAGAUAGAGAAGACCUGCAAGGUCAUCUGGUCCAUCUCCUUGUCAGUGUUUGUUGUUUUGUUUCUCCCUGGUUUCCCAUGUCUUAAUUUAAAUUUGUUCUUAUUUCCUCCCUCCUUAUCAACCAUAUGAAUCUUCUUUAAAAUAACUGCUCUCCUCCUCAGUAUAAGAUCAGAUAAUAGAGUACAGAUUUAAUUCCUUUCUCUUGUAGAACCUGAAAUUAAUCUGUCUCUAUUAAGAGCUCAAUUGUGGUUAAUCGCUAUUGUCCCUAUCGCUUUGUUUCAGCUUGUUCUGCGCACAUUGCUUCUU